UACGGAGGGGGCUAGCGUUGUUCGGAAUUACUGGGCGUAAAGCGCACGUAGGCGGUUUUGUAAGUUAGAGGUGAAAGCCUGGGGCUCAACCCCAGAAUAGCCUUUAAGACUGCAUCACUUGAACGUCGGAGAGGUGAGUGGAAUUCCGAGUGUAGAGGUGAAAUUCAUAGAUAUUCGGAAGAACACCAGUGGCGAAGGCGGCUCACUGGACGACUGUUGACGCUGAGGUGCGAAAGCGUGGGGAGCAAACAGG
rnacentral:rRNA from 1 species